UGCCUAUUUUUCUUAGUUGGUGGAGUGAUUUGUCUGGUUAAUUCCGUUAACGAACGAGACCUUGACCGGCUAAAUAGUCGGGCGGUUUCCGAAACGUUUCAAUUCGAGACUUCUUAGAGGGACUGUUGGUGUUCAACCAAAGUCAGGAAGGCAAUAACAGGUCUGUGAUG
rnacentral:rRNA from 1 species